rfam:Parcubacteria group bacterium RIFCSPHIGHO2_01_FTLL_47_10b rifcsphigho2_01_scaffold_3161, whole genome shotgun sequence.
CUUACCACUUCAAACAUUGAAGUAGUAACAAAUCUAAGCGAAAUUCCUAGAAACCGACUGGGACCCUCAAUGGGUAACCAUGAGCGGAAAACUUGGCUAUAUGCUGGGAACUCCCGUGUAUCUACUACUGGAAACGGUAGUAGUGGGGACAAUCAGCAGGGAAGUUCUGUCUUCUAUCUAAAGAAUCAGAACCCCUCAACGACUACACGCCAGGAUCCUUAUAUAAUAAGGAAUGUGAUAUAGUCUGAACUGCAUGGCGACAUGCAG